rnacentral:lncRNA from 1 species
CUAGGAAGGCUGACACAUGAUGAGAAGAGUCAGUGGUCCUGAGGUACAGUACUUAAGAUAACCCUGUGAAGGCUGAGAUUGAUAUUUGAAAUUCACAACUGAUCUUGGAGCCUGGUACAGCAGUCAUGGAGCCAUAUUGGAUUGUGAAAGGAACUCAGUUGACCUGGCCUAUUGCAGAUUUAUUCUGAGAAUUUCAAUUCAGUCUUUGCUGCUGUUUGGAAAUCUUUCAUGAAUCUUUUAAUAACUUCCUUACAUACAUCUUGUUCCAUUAAAGCCCCAAAUUUGGCUUUGUCAGCUCUCUUUCUUCAUAAUCUUUAGGAUUUGUUCAUGUGUGGAUGUGAUGGAACUGAAGUCGCUAGGUUCAUGCUACCUGGAACAUGAGACUGACAAAUAGAGGAGCACUGAGUCAAAUGAAUCUCGGAGAAAUGGAGCUGGAAGAAAACUGGAGUAAGCCUGUCCCUGAAAGGGCACUACAUUUGGAUAUCCAGCAGUGGGACUCAAUAUUUUUUCUUGUUGUUUAAUCUCAUUUCUGUUACUUGCAGCCAAAGGCUCUUAAUGAGAAAAUGGCUCUACCUAGUUUUCUGAAAUUGCCUCAGUCUCUCCACUCUUCCCUAUUACAAAGGUCAUCUCUUUAAUUCACAUCCAAUAACUGAUAGUCUCUUGACUAAUCUACAUCCUCUCAUUCUCUCCUAAUUCACCUUUCAUACUGUUGCCAGGUGACUUUUCCUAAAAGACAACUUUCAUGAUGUCACUCUACUUCAUAAAUUCUUAUAAUGGUUUCUUUUUGCUUUUAGUCCAAACUCCUCAGGUUCGUUUUCAAGGCUUUUCAUAAUUGAAUUUCUUUUAUAUACCUAAGAUGAUUUCUCUGUGUUCCCAAAUGUACAAUUGACAGUCCUUCCUCCUGAUGUUCUCUCCAGUAGGAAAUGUUUGCUCUAUGUAAAUUCAGUAUAGCUUUUAGUCUCUAUUCAAGUUCUACCUUCUUCAUAAACUUCUCCUGAAUAGAAUCAGCCUAUAACCAUUUAAACUGUCUUUAUUAGGUGCACACUAUGUGCCAGGUACUCAACAAGGCAGUGGAACUAUGAAGACAGAUAAUCACAGUCCCUCUUGCCUCUGGGAGCAGGCAGUUGAAUGCAAUGCUUUUUAAAGUUUUAAGUAACGUGGUCAUGCAAAAUCUUAUAGAUAUACAUUUGAAUGUACAGAGUUUAAUUACCAAGCUAGUGAGACUUAAUGUUUCAAUUAAUAAAAAGUUUGGAAUCAAGGUAUAUAGAUAA